rnacentral:misc_RNA from 1 species
GUUGAGACAUUCCAGUUAGAUCUUUCUUUGAAACCACGGGGCUAAUCUUUUUGAUUUAUCUAGUCUUCUGCCCGGUGGCUGAUUUUACAUUCAGAGUCAAAUUUGCAUUUCUGUUGGAUUUUAGAUGUUGCCAUUUGGAUUUAUAGAUUUUGACAAGUAAGCCAUGAGUUGUAUGGUAGGAGUUGGGUGGAGGGGUAAGAAUUAGGAAUACAGAUGCUGAAAAGCAUGCAUAACUGAACAGCAUCAAAAAAUACAAUUCUUUUUUUAU